AUUGAACGCUGGCGGAAUGCUUUACACAUGCAAGUCGAACGGUAGAGGGGGCAACCCCUUGAGAGUGGCGAACGGGUGAGUAAUAUAUCGGAACGUGCCCAGUCGUGGGGAUAACGUAGCGAAAGUUACGCUAAUACCGCAUACGAUCUACGGAUGAAAGCGGGGGACUCGCAAGAGCCUCGCGCGAUUGGAGCGGCCGAUAUCAGAUUAGGUAGUUGGUGGGGUAAAGGCUCACCAAGCCAACGAUCUGUAGCUGGUCUGAGAGGACGACCAGCCACACUGGAACUGAGACACGGUCCAGACUCCUACGGGAGGCAGCAGUGGGGAAUUUUUGGACAAUGGGCGCAAGCCUGAUCCAGCCAUGCCGCGUGUGUGAAGAAGGCCUUCGGUUGUAAGNACUUUGUUGGGUAGAAAG
rnacentral:rRNA from 1 species